rnacentral:rRNA from 1 species
GCGGGUAAGGAUUAAGCCCAUGCAUGUGUAAGUUUAAAGACCAAGUAGGAUGAAACUGCGGACGGCUCAUUAUAACAGUAAUAGAUUCUUUGGUUAGUCGGUACAAGGAUAACUUUGUGAAUGAUAAAGCUAAUACUUGAGACGAUCCGGGAAGUAUUUAUACUUUCCGGCCCUCGGCCGCGAGGUCGGGGAAAAACGACAUUCUCUUGUGAAAAAGGAUGCCGCGACAAUUGAGGAAAGCGACGCUUUUAACAAGUAACCAAUGGAAAUUUCUGAUCUAUCAAUUUGUGGGUAGUAUCGAGGACUACCAAGAUUAUAACGGAUAACGAGGAAUUGGGGUUCGACAUCGGAUAGGGAGCUUUACAGAGGGCUACCACUUCUAAGGAAGGCAGCAGGCGCGAAAAUUACCCACUUUCGACCCGAAAAGGUAGGGACGACAAAUAACUCUUGGCACCCCUCGGGGUGACUUGAAGGAAUGAUUUAGAAGUAAUUUCCCUAAAAAAAUCAAUUGGAGGGCAAGUCUGGUGCCAGCAACCGCGGUAAUUCCAGCUCCAAUAGGGUA